CGCUCGGGUCCGGCUGUGGCGGCGGUGCCUGUGAGGAGCCGGCGUGGGAGCCCGGCCCGGGGCAGCUCGGAAGCCGCUGGAACCGCCGGCAGCGGACGGGCCGCGGAGGGGCCCGACAGGCUCCGUUCAGGCCAUGUGUGAUGAAGGAGAGAGGGCGGGUGUCCGGCGACGGUGCCUUGUUGUGGUGCCGUGCGCCUUGGUAACCCUGCCUGAGCUAGGAUUAGCUGUCCUGAGUCACUUAAUAAAAUGGAUGGCACAACACAAGCAGUAAGGAAGAGAUCUUUUCUUUGUAGGGUUACUCAGGAAUCUGCUAAUGAAGCCCAUCUCGUGCAGAUAGAAUUGUCUCACUCUUGCAAAAAAAGAUUCUUAAAUCUCUCCUUCUUUUACCUGGAUUCCAUGUCUCCUGAAAUCCAGCUUGAUGUUAGCUGACCUUCCUGGGUUGCCUUCUGGGUGAAUGUCAGUGGCUGGGAUGUUUUCUGUUGCUAUACCAACCUGGUUUCUGCACUAAAAAUAAAGACCUCAGGGUGGGGAAUGUGUCUUGUUUC
rnacentral:lncRNA from 1 species